UGAGGGAAAGUUGCAAAGAACUUUGAAGAGAGAGUUCAAGAGUACGUGAAACUGCUCAGGGGCAAACGGGUGGGCCCUCGAAGUCCGAGCGGAGAGGGAUUCAGUCGCGAGCCGCGAGGGGCUCCGCCGUCCAAGACCGGACUCCGGACGGGGUCGCGGCGGUGGAGCCGUCCUCCGGACGCGCGACGCAGUUUCCUCUCCCGAAGGGACGCCGCAGCCGGUGCGACGUCGGCAGUGAGGACCAGGGAGGUAGGUGGCGUGGAUCCGGUCUAGCACCGAGGUCCCGUGUCUGGCCUCCCCGGCGGGUCCGUGCGCGACGUCGGACCGAGGGAACCGUCGACCCCGGGUCGACGCGCCGUGGCCUCGCCCAUCCAGAGCGAGCGCGCGCCGGCGUCAGGGAACGCGCGCGGUCUCCUCGUCACCGAGCGGUGUCGGGAGUCGCGCGUGCCCCGCUGGGCCCGGUGGCGCGCUGAGGGCGCGAAUCACGGCUGGCGGCGAGUAGGUCGGUAACCCACCCGACCCGUCUUGAAACACGGACCAAGGAGUCUAACAUGUGCGCGAGUCAGUGGGACUCGAACAAGCCCACGGGCGGAACGAAAGUGAGAAGUCGGGAUCCGGCUCCCCUCGGGAGCCGGCGCACCGACGGCCUGGCGCGACCCUCGGUGCGAGGAAGGGGCCGGAGCCGGAGCGUACACGUUGGGACCCGAAAGAUGGUGAACUAUGCCCGGGCAGGUCGAAGCUAGAGGAAACUCUGGUGGAGGACCGCAGCGGUUCUGACGUGCAAAUCGAUCGUCGAACCUAGG
rnacentral:rRNA from 1 species